GAUUCUUUCAAGAACUGCUGAGCCUCAGUCCAGUACCUCCCACGUCAUCUCAAUGUGUUCACACUCAGACGCGCAGUCUCUGCUCAGCACUUCUGGGCCUGCCUGCCAGGCAAGGUCCUCUGUCUGGAGAGAAACAGUCCUGCAAGGAUAUCUGAACACAUUCCAAUAGCACGUGAUCUCUAGGACACCACUUCCAGGAGCUGCACCCUUUCCCUCAGGAAAAGUACCCACCAUACACAUCCCCACCAGCAGGGGGCAAAUGCCCUGUGCCUUCCUAGGGUUCCACCUCAGCUCUGCAUGGCUUUGAGAAGAAAAGAAAAGUGGAGCAAGGCAGCCCUUUUUCCUACUCCUGUCUCCUGCGCUGCCCAGUGGACACAGCUACCUCUUCAGAAACAAGGAGAGAGGGAGAGCCCCACACACCCCGGGGGUAAUGUCAGCCUUCUCAGGAGCAAGGGAAAAGAAAGUCGCAAUGGCCCAGCAUCAUGAAAGGACUUCAGAGCUGGAGAGUAAUUACCCUCCAAAGUCCUGUGAGACCCUCACAGUAAUAGCACCUCUGUCUUGCCUGGGACCUGUCUCGGGAGCACUGAACUGAGAUUAUGGUCAUCAACUUUUUUCUCCCCAAGUCUUUGACCUUAAAAGUGGAUGGAAUGCGAUCUGGCUUUGCUAACAAUGUAUUCUUCAUCUCUAAGAUGGAUUCCUC
rnacentral:lncRNA from 1 species